UACGUAGGGGGCAAGCGUUGUCCGGAAUCAUUGGGCGUAAAGAGCGCGUAGGCGGCCCAGUAAGUCCGCUCUGAAAGUCAGGGGCUCAACCCCUGGAUGCGGGUGGAUACUGCUGGGCUAGAGUCCGGAAGAGGUGAGUGGAAUUCCUGGUGUAGCGGUGAAAUGCGCAGAUAUCAGGAGGAACACCGGUGGCGAAGGCGGGUCUCUGGGCAGUAACUGACGCUGAGGAGCGAAAGCGUGGGGAGCGAACAGG
rnacentral:rRNA from 1 species